AAUAACUCGAGCUUAAAAUUAAGCCACAUCGUUCAAAAUAAUCCAUAAGAUAUAAAAUGUACGACACCGAUACACAAAAUAAUCCAUAAGAUACAAAAUGUACGACACAGAUACACAAAAUAAUCCAUAAGACACAAGAACACGCUACAACAUAAUCAACCAGACACAAAAUACAUUUCGAAACAUAAAAAUAAACGUUAAGAUACACAUACAUAAAUAUAUCCAUUAGAUGCAACGUAUAUCUAAAAUGAACAUAAGCCCACCGAUGAAAAGGUCGUUGAGCUACCGCUAAAUUAGAUGACUGUGAUUAUGCUAAUAUGGGUCGAUCGAAUCGAGUUGAAAGUGAAAUUGAAACGCGAAUCGAAAGUGACUGAGCCGCAUGAAUGGAAUCAAAUCAAAAUGAAUAAAAUGCUAAUUCACACAGCCUAACUAAUCGUGAAUACAUGGGAAUUAGAAUGCAUAAAGAAUGGGUUUUUUAAACCAAAUUU
ensembl:ncRNA lncRNA:CR45615 long non-coding RNA:CR45615